rnacentral:rRNA from 1 species
UACGUAGGGUGCAAGCGUUAAUCGGAAUUACUGGGCGUAAAGCGUGCGCAGGCGGUUCGGAAAGAGAGGUGUGAAAUCCCAGGGCUUAACCUUGGAACUGCACUUCUAACUACCGGGCUAGAGUAUGUCAGAGGGGGGUAGAAUUCCACGUGUAGCAGUGAAAUGCGUAGAGAUGUGGAGGAAUACCGAUGGCGAAGGCAGCCCCCUGGGAUAAUACUGACGCUCAUGCACGAAAGCGUGGGGAGCAAACAGG